rnacentral:rRNA from 1 species
AACGAACGCUGGCGGCAUGCCUAACACAUGCAAGUCGAACGGAGCCUUCGGGCUUAGUGGCGCACGGGUGCGUAACGCGUGGGAAUCUGCCCUUUGGUUCGGAAUAAUAGUUGGAAACGACUGCUAAUACCGGAUGAUGACGAAAGUCCAAGGAUUUAUCGCCAGAGGAUGAGCCCGCGUAGGAUUAGCUAGUUGGUGUGGUAAAGGCGCACCAAGGCGACGAUCCUUAGCUGGUCUGAGAGGAUGAUCAGCCACACUGGGACUGAGACACGGCCCAGACUCCUACGGGAGGCAGCAGUGGGGAAUAUUGGACAAUGGGCGAAAGCCUGAUCCAGCAAUGCCGCGUGAGUGAUGAAGGCCCUAGGGUUGUAAAGCUCUUUUACCCGGGAUGAUAAUGACAGUACCGGGAGAAUAAGCCCCGGCUAACUCCGUGCCAGCCGCCGCUGUAA